AGUGAACGCUGGCGGUAGGCCUAACACAUGCAAGUCGAACGGCAGCACAGUAAGAGCUUGCUCUUACGGGUGGCGAGUGGCGGACGGGUGAGGAAUACAUCGGAAUCUACUUUUUCGUGGGGGAUAACGUAGGGAAACUUACGCUAAUACCGCAUACGACCUACGGGUGAAAGCAGGGGAUCUUCGGACCUUGCGCGAUUGAAUGAGCCGAUGUCGGAUUAGCUAGUUGGCGGGGUAAAGGCCCACCAAGGCGACGAUCCGUAGCUGGUCUGAGAGGAUGAUAAGCCACACUGGAACUGAGACACGGUCCAGACUCCUACGGGAGGCAGCAGUGGGGGAUAUUGGACAAUGGGCGCAAGCAUGAUCCAGCCAUACCGCGUGGGUGAAGAAGGCCUUCGGGUUGUAAAGCCCUUUUGUUGGGAAAGAAAAGCAGCAGGUUAAUACCCCGCUGUUCUGACGGUACACAAAGAAUAAGCACCGGCUAACUUCGUG
rnacentral:rRNA from 1 species